GAUGAACGCUGGCGGCGUGCCUAAUACAUGCAAGUCGAGCGAACAGACGAGGAGCUUGCUCCUCUGACGUUAGCGGCGGACGGGUGAGUAACACGUGGAUAACCUCCCUAUCAGACUGGGAUAACUUCGGGAAACCGGCGCUAAUACCGGAUAAUCUAUUGAACCGCAUGGUUCAAUAGUGAAAGACGGUUUUGCUGUCACUUAUAGAUGGAUCCGCGCCGCAUUAGCUAGUUGGUAAGGUAAAGGCUUACCAAGGGAACGAUGCGUAGCCGACCUGAGAGGGUGAUCGGCCACACUGGAACUGAGACACGGUCCAUACUCCUACGGGAGGCAGCAGUAGGGAAUCUUCCGCAAUGGGCGAGAGCCUGACGGAGCAACGCCGCGUGAGUGAUGAAGGUCUUCGGAUCGUAAAGCUCGGUUAUGAGCGAAGAACAAAUGUGUAAGUAACUAUGCACGUCUUGACGGUACCUAAUCAGAAAGCCACGGCUAACUACGUG
rnacentral:rRNA from 1 species